UACGUAGGUGGCAAGCGUUGUCCGGAUUUACUGGGCGUAAAGCGUGCGCAGGCGGUUAUGCAAGACCGAUGUGAAAUCCCCGGGCUUAACCUGGGAACUGCAUUGGUGACUGGCAGGCUUUGAGUGUGGCAGAGGGAGGUAGAAUUCCACGUGUAGCAGUGAAAUGCGUAGAGAUGUGGAGGAAUACCGAUGGCGAAGGCGGGUAGCUGGGCCAACACUGACGCUGAGACGCGAAAGCUAGGGGAGCAAACGGG
rnacentral:rRNA from 1 species